rnacentral:rRNA from 1 species
GACGAACGCUGGCGGCGUGCCUAAUACAUGCAAGUUGAGCGCUGAAGGUUGGUACUUGUACCAACUGGAUGAGCAGCGAACGGGUGAGUAACGCGUGGGGAAUCUGCCUUUGAGCGGGGGACAACAUUUGGAAACGAAUGCUAAUACCGCAUAAAAACUUUAAACACAAGUUUUAAGUUUGAAAGAUGCAAUUGCAUCACUCAAAGAUGAUCCCGCGUUGUAUUAGCUAGUUGGUGAGGUAAAGGCUCACCAAGGCGAUGAUACAUAGCCGACCUGAGAGGGUGAUCGGCCACAUUGGGACUGGGACACGGCCCAAACUCCUACGGCAGGCAGCAGUAGGGAAUCUUCGGCAAUGGACGAAAGUCUGACCGAGCAACGCCGCGUGAGUGAAGAAGGUUUUCGGAUCGUAAAACUCUGUUGGUAGAGAAGAACGUUGGUGAGAGUGGAAAGCUCAUCAAGUGACGGUAACUACCCAGAAAGGGACGGCUAACUACGUG